GACGAACGCUGGCGGCGUGCUUAACACAUGCCAGUCGAACGAUGAAGAAGAGAAACGCGAACUUCGGUUCAAAUUUCACUUCGGAUUAGUGGCAGACGGGUGAGUAACGCGUGAGCAACCUACCUCUUACAAAGGGAUAGCCUCGGGAAACCGUGAUUAAUACCAUAUGACACAUUCAUAAGGCAUCUUAAGAAUGUUAAAGCUACGGCGGUAAGAGAUGGGCUCGCGUCCCAUUAGCUAGUUGGUGAGGUAACGGCCCACCAAGGCGACGAUGGGUAACCGGCCUGAGAGGGUGAACGGUCACAUUGGAACUGAGACACGGUCCAAACUCCUACGGGAGGCAGCAGUGGGGAAUAUUGCACAAUGGAGGGAACUCUGAUGCAGCGACGCCGCGUGAGCGAUGAAGGAAUUCGUUUCGUAAAGCUCUGUUCUAUGGGAAGAAAAGGACUGUACCAUAGGAGAAAGCCCCGGCUAAAUACGAG
rnacentral:rRNA from 1 species